rnacentral:rRNA from 1 species
AGGGGGACAACAGUUGGAAACGACUGCUAAUACCGCAUACGAUCUAAUCUCGGCAUCGAGGAUGGAUGAAAGGUGGCCUCUAUUUAUAAGCUAUCACUGAAGGAGGGGAUUGCGUCUGAUUAGCUAGUUGGAGGGGUAACGGCCCACCAAGGCGAUGAUCAGUAGCCGGUCUGAGAGGAUGAACGGCCACAUUGGGACUGAGACACGGCCCAG